CUUAGUGCCAGUUGUUUCAGGGACACAAUAGGACAGUGACAACUCCAGAGGUGGCGGCUGUCUUUUUCAACCUUUACUUUGGAUCAUUCUGCUACGUUGACAAAAUUCAAGAAUCUAAAUACACACCACGUUGUUUAGUCUAGAUACUGUUUAUUAGAGUUCAGGAUGGACUAUUCGAAGUACCUUUCAGUGUCGUCUUCGAACCGAAGGCCCUCGGGAUUUAGCGAAAUGGAAAAGCACCUGACGGACCCUUUGCCCUCGGCGGUGUGGCUGGUGUCGGGAAUGCCAAACCCUCAGCUGUUCCCCUUCUGCGACGCCGCCAUCAACCUGAGCGACGGGUCCGUUCUUGAGAUCAGCAAAGAAGUCAUGGCGACCGGGCUGCAGUAUGGGCCGACGCCGGGGUACGUCCCCUUAAUCGAACAGCUCAAGGAGAUGACCCUCCGUACCCACAACCCCCCUCGCUGGACUGAGAGCGACCUGCUGGUGACCGUCGGGUGUCAGGACGGCCUGGCGAAGGCGGUGGAGAUGCUGCUCGACCCAGGGGACUGCGUGGUCGUGCAAGAGCCUUGUUAUCCGGACGCCCUAUGCAUCCUCGCUCCACUGAAGCUGAAGUACGUCAUUGUCACAGCGGACGAAAGAGGCAUGUGCCCCGUGGCUCUCAAGAAAGGACUCGAAGAGGCACGGCUUUCAGGAGGACCCGUGCCGAAGGUCUUGUACUUGGUGCCUACUGCCUGCAAUCCCACGGGAAUCACCAUAGACGAGGCGCGACGUAGGGAGAUCUACAGCAUCGCCUCCGAGUAUGACCUCAUCAUCCUUGAGGAUGACCCGUACCUCUUCCUUCAGUACGACGAGGAACCAAUGGCCCCGAGUUUCCUGCGGUUGGACACAGAAGGAAGGGUCUUGAGGUUUGACUCCUUCUCCAAGAUCGUGAGCGCAGGGUUGAGGGUUGGCUUCGUGACAGGCCCGGCGCCGCUCAUCGAGAGGAUGAACUGGCACAUGCAGGCCAGCGUGAUGUGUCCGCCAGGCAUUAGUCAGGUCAUGGUGAGCGAACUGCUGCGGAAAUGGGGCGACGACGGAUUCAAGAAGCACGUAGGCAAGCUGAGGGAUUUCUACAAAGCGCAGAGGGAUGUGAUGUUACGGGCAGUGGAAGAGCAUCUCACUGGAUUGUGUGAAUGGACUGUGCCGAAGGGGGGAAUCUUCAUAUGGUUUAAGGUCCCAGGUCUCCGUGACACGACGCCCAUGCUGGUGAAGAGAGCUGUCUUGAAGGGCGUCGUGCUCCUUCCCGGGAAAGACUUCAUGGUCGAUGCCAAGAAGCAGUGCCAGUACAUGAGGGCGGCUUUUUCAUGCGCCACGAAGGAGCAGAUGUGGGAAGGGAUGGAGAAGCUGGCAGAACUAAUCCGAGAGGAAAUGGCACUACAGCAAGAUUCUCAACAUUAAGGGAUGUUACGCGUCUACCUCCAUUCCGAUACUGCAUUUGCAAUGAACACCGUAGGAAAAAAAAGAAAAAAUGUAACUAGAAAAUGGAUCCAGAGUGAAUGCGUUUAUGUUUGGAAAUCACUUUGACGAUUGAUCGAGGAAUCAUCUCCUGAAAUGGGCCUCCUCGAUUCCGAAGACGCCGAAGCACCGGCGCUUGGAUUGUAAACACCAAUGACCACAAAGAAUAAGGAUAAGCCAGAUUUGCGGAUGCUACGCCGGGCUUAUAUGCAAUGAGGCGAGCCCGCCACCAUAAAGAAUAAAGACCAUGCAAUACGAAAACCCACAACAUAUGUUCAUUAUCGAACAAUGAAAAGUUCGCGAAAGCCGUGAGAUCUCAAACGAUUCAUGAAGCAGCUCGCCCACGCACCAGAAACGCCCACGCGCCCAUACGAAAGAAACAACGAAGGUUUCCCCGAGGUCUGUCUCUGUGGACCGCUCAGCCCCGAAAGAGUCGUAAAUACAUACAUUACAGACCCUCUCAUUAUCAGCUUGCCGCCUGACACCUAGCCUUUGUUGUGUUCAUUAAGUACUUGUAAACACAGCGGGGCUGCCGGAGUGCAGGCGAUAACCGGCCUUAUUGACUGCCAAUAGAGGCGAAAGUCCCUGGGCUCCUGGGCCGGCGCGACGUGGGUGGCCCAAGAAGUGUGUCGAUUCCUAAGGAUGUCCUCGCAUUGAUUUCCUUUUGUGUUGAGCGUCUUUGAGUUUGCCAAGAAACCUUCUUUAUCUCGGGAAGCUAAUCAGGUAUAUUAUGAUCAUCUGAGUCGAUGAUAAUUUUAUUUAACUGUGUAAAAGGAGAUUUCAGUUUAGAUCGGUAUCAGGUGAGGCCGGUGAAGUCCUGAUAUUUCUGGGUCCAUUUUUAUCUUGUAUUUCAAAGGGCUUUUGUUGAGGAAAUAAAUUACUGUACUGCAUGUUA
rnacentral:misc_RNA from 1 species